GUCUGAAUUUCAGCCACCCAUAUAUUUUAUUGCGAGUUAUAUGCGUGUCUGAGUUUCAGACACCCCUAUCGCUGGAAAUUGAAUAAACGAUCAUGCAAGAUAUAGUUAUAGGAGUGUCUGAAAUUCAGACACCCAUAUAGCUCGUGAAAGAAGUAUAUAUGGGUGUCUGAAAUUCAGAC